AAUCAACGCUGGCGGCGUGCCUCAGACAUGCAAGUCGAACGAUUAAAGCUCUCUUCGGAGAGUGCAUAGAGUGGCGCACGGGUGAGUAACACGUAAGUAAUCUACCUUUGAGUGGGGAUAACGUCCGGAACGGACGCUAAUACCGCAUAAUGCAGCGGCAUCGCAAGAUGACAGUUGUUAAAGAUUUAUCGCUUGAAGAGGAGCUUGCGGCAGAUUAGCUAGUUGGUAAGGUAAUGGCUUACCAAGGCUACGAUCUGUAACCGGUCUAAGAGGACGGUCGGUCACACUGACACUGAAUAACGGGUCAGACUCCUACGGGAGGCAGCAGUCGGGAAUUUUGGGUCGAAUGGGCGAAAGACCUCGACCCAGCAACGCCGCGUGAAGGAUGAAGUAUUUCGGUAUGUAAACUUCGAAAGAAUGGGAAGAAUAAAUGACGGUACCAUUUAUAAGGUCCGGCUAACUACGUGCCAACAGCCGCAGUAAU
rnacentral:rRNA from 1 species